rnacentral:lncRNA from 1 species
GAACAACAUCAUAAAUUAUGGAUCUCCCCAAGCCGCCUCCGGCCAGGCCCUGUGCGGGACGUCUCCAGGGACUCGCAGGGCGCGGGUGUCCUCAGUGGUCCGGGCUUGCGGUUGGCAGGGGCCACUGAGGCCCCCGUGGGGCGACGAGUCCAGGGCCCACCCCGGGACCCAGGGGACGGCGACCCCGAGCCGGCCGAGCUCCGAUCGCCUUUGUUGGCGGGGAUCUCCGAGCGUGGGCCGGGCCUGCGGACCGCAGGGGCGCGCGGGGCAGGCAGGUGCGGGGGCGGCGCGGGGGCCCCGAGCGGCCGGCGACAGCUGCGCGAGGGCGCGGGGGCGGAGGCGGGCGUCACGCGCGGGACGCCCAUCUGGCCCGGGUCUCCUCCCGCGCCCGCGGCGGGAGGGACAAGUCAAGGUCAGCGGCGGCGGCGCGCGGUGGGCGCCCAGACCCGGGCCUCGGUCGCGCCCGCCCAGCGCCCCGCCAGCCCCGGGCGCCCACCUUGCCCUUUGUCCUUCCUGCCGAGCAGCUGGGCCGUGACCCCCGGCAGCCUCGGAGCCGGCGGGAUUAAAGGAGCCUCCGCCCUGCGGACAAACUGCAACUCCGACCCCCCCAGCCCUCAACCACCCCACCUAUUGUUUUGUUUUUAUUUUGUUUUCUUGGCAGCGUUUCAACCACUCCUCGUAAGGUUACAAGUGCGAUUUCCAGCCAGGUUUGGAGGCCGCCUCCCACAAAGCUGCCAGUCUGUGACUUUAGAUUCGACAGCUUGGAACCAGUUCCCCGGAGGCUCCGUUCCAGGUAUCCUCUUAGCUCAGAGGUCAGACUAGGAUCAGAGAUAAAAUGUCAUCACGAAAAUUUUUCUAAUCGCCAAAGCAGUGCUACUUUAAAAACUAGAACCAUCCUUUUUAUCUGGAAUUAAGCCGGUGGAAUAAGGGGAAGGGGACUUUGGUCUUCAAAUAACAAUAAUUGCCUCCACGGUUAGUUGUUGAGCUCUUUUUAUGUGUCAGACGCUAUGGAAGCACUUUGAUGAAUUCUCUAAGUCUUCACAGCCUUAAAAGGAAGACACUUACCACACCAUUUGAUAGAUACAAGACUGAGCCUUAGAGAAGCCUGCGAGGGUCCACAGUGUUACUACAAGCUCACCAGCCCUGCCCAUGUCUGGAAGGUGAGAAAUGGCCGUCAUUAUUCACGCUCAGGCUUAUACCACUCUUUGGGACCCCCAAGGAUUAUAGCCCACCAGGCUCCUCUGUCCAUGGGAGUUCCAGGCAAGAGUACUGGAGUGGGUUGCCAUUUCUUUGUCCAGGGAAUCAUCCUGAUCCAGGGAUCAAACCCACGUCUCCUGCAUUGGCAGGCGAAUUCUUUACCAGUGAACCACCUGGGAAGCCCCGAGGAGAGGAGAUGGCCAUGAGCACCAGAAGCCCACCAAAGAGCAAGUUGAAUGAAGAACACACAUCCUGAUUUUCUGCAGCCAACACAGGUCCUUUGCUGAAGCUGGAGAUGUAGCGCAGAGAGGCUGGUUCUCCAGACACACAUUCUCCCCACUCAUAUCCUCCUUCAGGUCAGAAAGUGAAAGUGAAAGUCAGUCACUCACUCUUUUCCAUCCCAUGAACUAUACAGUCCAUGGAAUUCUCCAGACCAGAAUACUGGAGUGGGUACCCUUUCCCUUCUCUGGGGAUCUUCCCAACCCAGGGACUGAACAGGGGUCUUAUGCAUUGCAGGCAGAUUCUUUACCAGCUGGGAUUCUUUACCACAAGGGAAGCCCUCAGGUCAGAAGCAGACCUCAUAGGAGUCAUUUGCGUUUCUGAAAAAUAGUGUUUUCAAGAAGUG